rnacentral:rRNA from 1 species
AUUGAACGCUGGCGGCAGGCCUAACACAUGCAAGUCGGGCGGAGCGGCGGACGGGUGAGUAAUGUAUGGGGAUCUGCCUGAUGGAGGGGGAUAACUACUGGAAACGGUAGCUAAUACCGCAUACGAUCAGAUGCGCCCAGGUCGGAAUAGCUAGUUGGUGGGGUAAAGGCCUACCAAGGCGACGAUCCGGAACGCGUCUGAGAGGAUGAUCAGUCACACUGGAACUGAGACACGGUCCAGACUCCUACGGGAGGCAGCAGUGGGGAAUAUUGCACACUGGGCGCAAGCCUGAUCCAGCCAUGCCGCGUGUGUGAAGAAGGUCUUCGGAUUGUAAAGCACUUUAAGUUGGGAGGCGUUACCAACAGAAUAAGCACCGGCUAACUUCGUGCCAGCCGCCGCGGUAAUUC